GAUGAACGCUAGCGGCAGGCUUAACACAUGCAAGUCGAGGGGUAUAGUUCUUCGGAGCUAGAGACCGGCGCACGGGUGCAUAACGCGUAUGCAAUCUACCUUUUGCAGAGGGAUAGCCCAGAGAAAUUUGGAUUAAUACCUCAUGGUAUGUGAGAAUGGCAUCAUUUUCACAUUAAAGUCACAACGGCAAAAGAUGAGCAUGCGUCCCAUUAGCUAGUUGGUAAGGUAACGGCUUACCAAGGCAACGAUGGGUAGGGGUCCUGAGAGGGAGAUCCCCCACACUGGUACUGAGACACGGACCAGACUCCUACGGGAGGCAGCCGUGAGGAAUAUUGGACAAUGGGCGCAAGCCUGAUCCAGCCAUGCCGCGUGCAGGAUGACGGUCCUAUGGAUUGUAAACUGCUUUUGUACAGGAAGAAACACUGGUUCGUGAACCAGCUUGACGGUACUGUAAGAAUAAGGAUCGGCUAACUCCGUGCCAGCCGCCGCCGUAAGAC
rnacentral:rRNA from 1 species